rnacentral:misc_RNA from 1 species
AAGUCGUAACAAGGUUUCCGUAGGUGAACCUGCGGAAGGAUCAUUAUUGAAUAAAUCUGGCUUGGUUGAUGCUGGUCUUUUCGAAGAUAUGUGCACACCUUGUCAUCUUUAUAUCUCCACCUGUGCACCUCUUGUAGACCUGGAUUUAACUUUCCGAGGAAACUCGGUUGUGAGGAAUUGCUUAAUAGGCUUUCCUUGUUUGUUUCCAGGGCUAUGUUUUCAUAUACACCUUAUGAAUGUAACAGAAUGUCAUUAUUAGGCUUAAUUGUCUUAUAAACUAUAUACAACUUUCAGCAACGGAUCUCUUGGCUCUC